rnacentral:rRNA from 1 species
CCCUUAGAUGUUCUGGGCCGCACGCGUGCUACACUGAGUGGAUCAGCGGGUCAGGUUGCGCGAAAGCGUUUCCUAAUCUUUAAAUCCGCUCGUGAUGGGGAUUGACGGUUGCAAUUUUCUGUCAUGAACGAGGAAUACCUUGUAAGCGCGGGUCAUCAUCCCGCGCUGAAUACGUCCCUGCCCUUUGUACACACCGCCCGUCGCUCCUACCGAUUGAGUGGCCCGGUGAGGCUUUGGGAUCUGAGCGGAAAGAGCGUUUCGCUGUUUCUACUCGGAAAACUCAGUCGAACCUUAUCAUUUAGAGGAAGGAGAAGUCGUAACA